GAGCGGCCUCGGUCAUCCUUGAGAAGAGCGGUCCUGGCAUUCAGUUGUCGGGGUCGGGAUUCUCGACGUUUACUGUGAAAAAAUCAGAGUGUUCAACGCAGGCUUACGCCUUGAAUACAUUAGCAUGGAAUAAUGAGAUAGGACCUUGGCGGUCUAUUUUGUUGGUUUGCACGCCGAGGUAAUGAUUAAAAGGGACGGUUGGGGUUCUUCGUAUUCAAUUGUCAGAGGUGAAAUUCUUGGAUUUAUGGAAGACGAACUGCUGCGAAAGCGUCGAACAAGGACGUUCUCAUUAAUCAAGAACGAAAGUUAGGGGAUCGAAGAUGAUUAGAUACCAUCGUAGUCUUAACCAUAAACUAUGCCGAUUCAGGAUUGGCGGUCGUUUGUUCUCGACUCCGUCAGCACUGUAUGAGAAAUCAAAAUCUUUGGGUUCCGGGGGGAGUAUGGUCGCAAGGCUGAAACUUAAAGAAAUUGACGGAAGGGCACCACCAGGAGUGGAGCCUGCGGCUUAAUUUUGACUCAACACGGGGAAACUUACCAGGUCCAGACAUAGUAAGGAUUGACAGAUUGAGA
rnacentral:rRNA from 1 species